GCGGGGGGGAAGGUGCUGCCUAUAGAGCGCCUGGGACGCGGCGCGGGGAGCUGCAGCAGCAGCCGCGGCAGCUGCCGGGCGGCGCGGGGCCGGGCCGGCUCCUGCCUCCCUCCCUCCGCAGGAAUCCCGCUCCGGAGCGCGGCGGGGUCCGCAGCCCGCGCCCGAGCUGGACGGCGGAGGCCGGGCGUGCGGGGCGCGCAGGUGGACAGCUCCGGCAGGGGCCGGCCCAGCUCCCUGCUCUGUCCUAGGGCCGGGGCUCGGGGCAGAGAAGAUGGUUUGACUAUGAAAUGUUGCCUAGGAAAAGCCCUCAUGCUUUCAGGUGGCAGUGUAGAAGCCAAGAACAAAAGUUGGCAGAAAUUAUUUUUCUCUCCGUGAGAAAAUGAAGAGAGUGUACACAUGACUAAGCACAGGAACCUGAAAUACCACAGUUGAAGUAGCAUCUGCUGGAAUGGCUAUAAAGCAUCAAAGGUGGUUUUACACGACACCUACGUUCAAUAAGUA
rnacentral:lncRNA from 1 species